rnacentral:misc_RNA from 1 species
GAAACGCGAUAGUUAAUGUGAAUUGCAGAAUUCAGUGAAUCAUCGAGUCUUUUAACGCACAUUGCGCCCAUAGGUAUUCCUUUGGGCAUGUCUGUUUGAGCGUCAUUACAACCCUCAGCUAACCGCUGGUUUUGAACCUGAACGGGUGACACCGCGCCGGUUUUAAAGUUGUAAGCUCUGCUGGCCGCUCUGCCCAACCAGAACAUAGUAAGCACUACUUGUCCGGGUGAAGCUGAACGGUACGGCCUGAACAAAACCUACCCACUCUCAAGGUUUGACCUCAGAUCAGACAAGGAUACCCGCUGAACUUAAGA